rnacentral:rRNA from 1 species
GACGAACGCUGGCGGCGUGCUUAACACAUGCAAGUCGAACGGAAAGGCCCUGCUUUUGUGGGGUGCUCGAGUGGCGAACGGGUGAGUAACAUGGGAGUAACCUGCCCUGGACUGUGGGAUAACUUCAGGAAACUGGGGCUAAUACCGGCUAGGAGCGCCUGCUGCAUGGUGGUGGUUGGAAAGUUUCGGCGGUUGUGGAUGGACUCCCGGCUUAUCAGCUUGUUGGUGGGGGAGUUGCUUACCAAGGGUUCGACGGGUAGCCGGCAUGGGAGGGUGAACGCGGACAUUGGGACUGAGAUACGGCGCAGAGUGGAACGGGGGGCAGAAGUGGGGAAUAUUGUACAGUGGGGGGGAGCGUGAUGCAGCGACGCCGCGAGCGGGAUGAAGGCCUUCGGGUUGUAAACGGCAGUCAGUUGUGACGAAGCGGGAGUGACGGUAAUGGGUAAAGAAGCACCGGCUAACUACGUG